GAGCAGCAGGUGCCGAGCGUUGAGCGGAAUCACUGGGCUUAAAGCGUGUGUAGGCGGACGGGUAAGUACCUUGUGAAAUCCCACGGCUCAACCGUGGAACUGCUGGGUAUACUGCCUGUCUUGAGCGGUUUAGGGGCUGUCGGAACAAAUGGUGGAGCGGUGAAAUGCGUAGAUAUCGGGAGGAACACCUGUGGCGAAAGCGGCUCACUGGACCACAACUGACGCUGAGGCGCGAAAGCGUGGGGAGCAAACAGG
rnacentral:rRNA from 1 species